CUAAUCAUUAAGAAGCUAUGUAACAGCACUAGCCUUUUAAGCUAGAGAUGGAGGUUUACCAACACCUCCUUAA
rnacentral:tRNA from 1 species